rnacentral:rRNA from 1 species
CAGUCGCCGCGGUAAUACGUAGGGUGCGAGCGUUAAUCGGAAUUACUGGGCGUAAAGCGUGCGCAGGCGGUUUUGUAAGACAGGCGUGAAAUCCCCGGGCUCAACCUGGGAACUGCAUUUGUGACUGUAUAGCUAGAGUACGGCAGAGGGGGAUGGAAUUCCGCGUGUAGCAGUGAAAUGCGUAGAUAUGCGGAGGAACACCGAUGGCGAAGGCAAUCCCCUGGGCCUGUACUGACGCUCAUGCACGAAAGCGUGGGGAGCAAACAGGAUUAGAUACCCCUGUAGUCCCUGUCUCUUAUAC